CUGCCCUGUCCAGGGUAAUGGCACAGCGAGAAAUCCCCAGGCAAGGAGUGCAUCACCUCAUCUCCAUGGUCUCAAGGCCGAGGGUUCAAGCCAACCAGGUCACCAACAGAAGAUUGAACACCCACUCUAGGCAGGCGGGUGGCAAAACUUCAGCUCCCAACAGUUGCACUCUCUGUUUUCAGAAUGAAGAUGAUCUAUGAAACGUGACCCAGCUCUUUCUGGUAGUACCCUCCCCUCGGCAGGGCCCUUUUGCUGGAAGAGUCAGGGCUGGAGCUUGACACUCAACAAAGGAUUCUGAACUUAAACGUCAAAAAAAGAGAGCAACUCUUCACAUCCAGAAAAAGAACUAUGGAGUCUGAGUGCAGAUCAAAAGAAAGAAACUGAGGCUCUAAAGGUGAAGUGAUUUGGUGACAGACUUCAAAUGGAACAUUCUACCGCACCAGCCUUCCUUUCCAGAUUUUAUCUUCAAGAAAACCACCAGGGAAGAGUUCAAUGUGAGAACCUUUGGAUGGAAGGAGAUCUAGAAUUGCAGUUGGAGGGCCUGAGUUCGAAUCUUGACUCUGCCACAUCUUAGCUGGGUGACUAUGGACAAGUCACUUAAUAUUGGGGUCUUAACUUCCUCUUCCAUAUAAAAGGGAGUUGAAUGAAAUAAUCCCUAAGGUCCAUCCCAGCUCUAAAGCCUGUGAUUUUGGCUUCUUAUAACCAAGAUUCUUGGAGUAGAGAUAGUUGAACUCAAUCUAUUCCUUAAAGGCAGCAUGGUACAAGCACCAAAUCGGGGCUCAGAGGACCCAGGGCCUGGGUUCCAGGGUCCUCCCCGUGGAAGUUUACUCCCUGUGUAAACUUGGGCCAAUGGCUAAACUUCCUUGGGUCUCAGUUCCUUAAUUGGAACUUGAGGGAGUUGGACUUAACUGGUUGAUAAAGACCCUUCCAUCUCUAAAGCCACGAUUCUGUAAGCCUUUAUUUAGUACAGUGAAGUAUUUCUCUCUCCCCAGGUUACCCCUGCUUCCUCCAUUAGAAUCCAAGCCCCUUGAGGGCUGGGACUGCUUUCCUGUUUGUAUUCAAAGUGCUUAACAGCGUGCAGUAGGCACUUAAUAAGUGUGUAUUGCAUUGAACAACUCUGUAUGCUCUGGGGAAUAGUCCCCACCCAGCCCCACUCUCUCUGCCAGGCACCAGGCA